rnacentral:lncRNA from 1 species
AAAUUGGGUUAUUGGAUGAAAGAGGUGGGGUUUGAACUGGACCUUGUCAAUGGAGAUGAUUUGUUAGUGGUCAUCCUAACCGGAUGAUUGCCUAAACAAACACACAGAGCUGAAUGACUAUGCAUUUGUCAAAUUCUAACCUCAGAGGCUGCCUACCUACAUCAUCUGUGGGGGUGGUGGCGGUGGUAGUGAUGGUAGUGGCACAUAUUAAAGCUACAAAACAGUGGACUAGAAGGCCAAGCACAUUUCCAGGGAUGGAGGGGAGGCAAGGAAAUGGACAAAUAUGCCAUAGGCCAGAAACCAGAAACACGCUUGUUAGGAAGAAGCUCUGUACAAGGACAUUCAGCCCUUCUAUCAGCAGACAGGUUGGCAGGAAAGAACAUGUGGAGUGGAGAGAAAGUUCCAGGUGUUACGAUGACUGUAGAGCAUAAGUUGGAUGAGACACCCUGCAGAAGCCCUAUCGAAACAGAACUAAGCAAGAGGCGGCAUUGAAGCAGUGGUGUCCGUACGUGCAAUAUUUGAGGAGCAUCGACCGAGUGAGACUGGGAAAGGAGGUUCUUCUACUUGUGCAGUAAACCCUCAAUUUGUUUGCCAUUUCUAAGUAAGGAAAUGAAGUGUCUCUUCUAAAUAAAUUAAAGCACUGAAGGAGUUACCGAUUCA